GAUCAUGCCUCCUAAAUCACAGGAGUUCAUUUGCAUCACAAUCUAUGAUUUAUUUGGUUUGAUAAGAUUUGUUGGAUGUCUAGUAGUUCUUGCUAGCUUCAAUUUAUUAGUUCUUUAAUUUUCCUUUAAAAUACUUGGUGCAUGUCAAUAUUGUAUUUUGUAGGUAUAUUGUUAUAGGAAUAUCAUUAUAGUUUACUAAGAUUUCUUGAUGCCUUAUUAUAACUUUAAAGUAUAAUUGAAAGCGCAAUUGCCUUCUAUAGUCAAGAGUCUUUGGAUGUAUGAUAUUUAGAACUUUGAAUUUUAAUGUAUAACUAAGGCAAAAUUGACUUCUGCAGUCAAAGUCUUUGAGUUUAUAGUAUUGUCUGGUUUUCUUAUACUGCAAUCACAAUAAUUCAACACGUCUGUAGUCAAGAGUCUUUGGAUGUAUGGUAUUUAGAACUUUGAAGUUUAAUGUAUAACUGAAGGCAAAAUUGACCUCUGCAGUCAAAGUCUUUGAGUUUAUAGUAUUGUCUCGUUUUCUUAUAUGGCAAUCACAAUAAUUGAACAUGUAUGCCGUGAUCCAUGAUGGGGAAGGUGUUAUGAAUGUAAUAGUGAAGAUACUGAAGUAGUUGUAAAAAUGGCAGAAAUCAUUGAAGGGCUACAGGGCUCUCCUCCUGAAGAACAUCCUAAUGGCUAUCCAUAUGUGGGGGGACGACAGAAUGUUGUAGCUUGUGCCAAGCAUUUUGUUGGAGAUGGUGGAACAGAGGGAGGAGUCAAUGAACACAAUACUCUGGCAACCUACUAUGAUCUUUUCUAGAUUCACAUGCGUCCAUACCUGUACUCCUUGGCAAAGGGUGUGUCAACUAUCAUGGCUUCUUACUCUUGCUGGAAUGGAGAAAAAAUGCAUGCAAACCAACACCUUCUAACUAGGAUUUUGAAAGAUGAACAUGGAUUCAAAGUAAGUAAAUAUGACAAAUAGAGUGAUUCAUUUUAUUUAUUUUCUGUAAUAAUAAUUUUAUCACAGAGGAAGAACUCUAAUCAGAACACUACUUCCAUUGGAUUUCCAAAGCAUACCGAUUUUUUUUCUUCUGAUUAAUACAUGGAGCAGGGCCAUUUAAGAAACAUGUCUUUUCUAUUACAAGAAAAUCAUGAAAUACGUUCCCAGACAAUACGCAAGAAAUCUUGAGCUGAUAAUUGGCUUGAUCGUUUUGAGUACAAGGAUUUAUCAUUUCAGAUUGGGAAGGAAUAGAUAGGAUCACCUCACCACCAGGCUCAAACUACUCAUACAAUGUUUGUUCUUCGAUCAAUGCAGGAAUGGACAUGGUGAUUUUAAAUGAUUAAUCAUGUUUCCAUACCACUAUAUUGGUUUUCUUUCCAGUCAGUAAUUUAUUUUAUCUAAUCUUGAAACUAUGUAGGUGAUGGUCCCUUUCAAGUUCAAAAAUUACAUUAGUAACCUUACAAAAUUAGUCAAUUCAGGCCAGAUUUCUAUGAGCAAAAUAGAUGAUUCAAUUAGGAGGAUUCUCAGGGUCAAGUUCAUUGCUGGCUUGUUUGAACAUCCCAAAACAGACAGAUCAUUGUUGGGCAUGGUUGGAAAUCCUAGAAAUAGCCAGAGAAGCGGUUCACAAGUCACUGGUUCUCUUGAAGAAUGGAAACAAGGGUGAGAAACCAUUACUACCUUUAAACAAGAAAACCCAGAAGAUACUAGUAGCAGGCAGUCAUGCAAACAAUCUGGGAUAUCAGUAUGGUGGAUGGACAAUAAACUAGGCAGGCAGUAGUGGAUCCAUGACUGUAGGAACCACUAUUGUGGUAGGGAUCUAGGGUGUUGAUGGUGAUUGUGGACCUAAAUUGGGUCUAGUACUAUCUAGGUUAUGGAUCGACUUAAUGAAACAUGUUGUUAGGACUUCUCGAUGUGCUUACGAGAUGACUUUUGGAUUGGAUGAUAUUUGUUUGGUCUCAGGCCGCCAUGUUUUAUAAUUAUGUAAUCGGUUUUAUUAUUUGGUGGUCGACCUAAUUGUUUAAAGUCGAGGGUUUGUAUAUAUAUGUGUAAGAUCUCUUUGUUGAUCAUGUAAGGGAUAAGGUAAUGCAAGUGAAUAAUGUAAUAAUCAUUCAUGCAGAGGAUUUGGUCGAUCAUAGGUGAUCGAGUUGGGUUUAUGCAAGAGAUUUAAGA